GGGCCGGUGGCUCAGCUUGGCCAAAUCUAAAGAUGUCAAGGAGCACACGGCUGAUAAUCAAUAUAUAAAUUCAGAAACCGUGGGGUCGUGGGUUCAAAUCCCACCCGGCCCA
rnacentral:tRNA from 1 species